rnacentral:rRNA from 1 species
UACGAAGGGUGCAAGCGUUACUCGGAAUUACUGGGCGUAAAGCGUGCGUAGGUGGUUUGUUAAGUCUGAUGUGAAAGCCCUGGGCUCAACCUGGGAACUGCAUUGGAUACUGGCUUACUAGAGUGCGGUAGAGGGGUGUGGAAUUCCCGGUGUAGCAGUGAAAUGCGUAGAUAUCGGGAGGAACACCAGUGGCGAAGGCGGCUGCCUGGGCCAGUUCUGACGCUGAGGCGCGAAAGCGUGGGGAGCAAACAGG